ensembl:lncRNA
AACUUUUAUUUAAACUUUUGUUGUUUCCUGAUUUGUGUUUUUAGUUUUGUUGGUGACUGAGAACCAAUGUAAAGCGCUUUGUAGAACUGCGAAAGUUAAAAAAAAAAAAAAAGCGCUAUAUAACUGCAGACCAUUUACCACGAAUAAUAACGACUAUUACACAUUAGACAGUCAUAAUAUUCUGCACGUCACAUGCUUUCUUUGUUAGAAACUUCUUUAUGGAUUGUGAGAACGAUGUUUAUCGAAAGAAGAAAAAAAAGAAAGAAUCUGGAUCCCAAGAAAAAAAAAGAAAAGUCACACUUUGGUUUAGAGAACAUUCAGCAAUAAUUUAUUUUCAUAAUCUCAAGAACCACCACAUUCCUCAUCUGGAAAAUUCAGAUUCAGUUGCCAACAACACGGUUUUUGAAAAAUGUAAAGUUACUAUACAAAUUCUUAAUAGAAAAAGAAUAAAUUAACUGUGGAAUUCAUUGUUAUUCUCCCCAACAACUCCACAUUUGUUUUUCUACAACACCGUUAUAACGUGUGCGGUUAUUUUUGAUUUGAACUCCAUAAAGUGAUGAAAACAUGCUCUAUUGUCAGGAAUGAGGGAGUGAGCGACACAGUUUAGUAACUAACAUCCUUCAUUUUGCACGACUCGUAUUAAAACUAUUGACAACGGUUAGGAAAAGUCUACAGCUAGGAAACAACGCAGUAACUGGUCAUCCUGUAGCACCUGAAAGGGUUACUUUGUCCUGACAUAGUGAAAAAAAAAAAAAAAAAAAGGAAAUAAAAGAAACACUGUUUGAUUUAAAAAAAAAAAAAAAUUUUUUAAAACAUUUGAAUAUUUAAUCCCCCCGCCCCCCUCCUCUUGUAAAAUAACCCAGACAGGUUUCCAUAGUCUUUUCCAUAUAUGUUGAUAAAUGUGUUAGUUUAUUCUUUUGUUAUAAAAGGUUUAGACUUGUUAUUAAAUACAGGUAAGAAUUAGGGCAUGAGGAGAGAAUAUACGUUUCUUCUUUCUCAGUGGAGAGAUAAGCAUGAGGCCUGAAUCACAGCACUGUGGGAACGAGACGACAUCUUCACGUGAAAUGUUUUCUCUUUCUAUGGGUUCGUUUUAACACCAGAGAACUGAAUUCGCCUCGAACUGUCAUCCGACCUGGAAGUGCAGGACACAUUCACAGACCCAGGACGCAAAAAUAAACUAGAAAACACAACAAUACUAAUAAAAAAAAUAAACGCCACGACAACAAAAUAAACCACGACAGCAAAUCAAAAAACACCUUACAAUUAUCUCAAAACAGAAAGGGACGUCCAGGGAGAACAUGCCAUGUUCCAUGCUGGUUGCUGAUUGGCUACAGUGUACGUUGGAGGAUGUUUAGUUAGAGGAAAUAUGAAAUGCUUUCAUUCCUGCUUAUUAUUAUUAUUAUUUUAUCAAGGGCCUUCAUGUACGUUCAUAUUCUUAUAACUUUGCACAGCAUUGAUAUAAUUAUGCGAUGUUCAGUAAGGACCUCCCCUUUGUGUUUUGUGAUAAUAUUGAUGUGAUUUUACUGUUGCUUUUAGUUUUUCUGUUGUUUCCUGAUUUGCUGUGUUUUUAGUUGAUUUCGUUGUUUCCCGAUUUGCUAUGUUUUUAGUUUUGUUGCGUUUUCUCAUUUGCUUUUACAUUAUGAUAUUUAUUAUUUUUUUUUUUGACUUUUGUUGUUGUGUUUUCUGAUUUGUUGUUGCCUGGUUUGGUUUGUUAACAUGUCUUGGCACUUAUGGGCUACCAUCCAGGCCUGGAAGAGAGGCAGCAUUACACUGUUCUGGCUAAGAGGGUGAAUUCGAAUCCCUAAAAAUAACACACAAACAGCAAUUGAUUUCACAUUGCAGGGUGUUAGGUUUGGACUCUGUUAUGAAGGGUCUGAUGGCACAUAAUGCACAUACACUAUAGUAAUGGAAAUACGUAUACUUAAAAAAAAAAAAGAAAAGAAAAAGAAGAAGAAGUGUGCUUGUAGAUAGUGUCCUUUGCUGCGGAGUGUCCAUUUCCGAGUGUGUGUGAUGUUGUACCGUGUGGAGUGUGUAGUAUAUAGACAUGGUUGUUACUCUAUGGCUUGCCGUGUUUCCUCGUCAAAUGAGAGACAUUGAGAAGAAGAGCACCAUCGUUUCGUUUUAAAAUCUCGCUGCCUAGAAAAACACAAACACCCUGUGUUUUUUCCUCUCCGUCUGAGAGCCUACGGUGAGUGUGGACGUUUUUCAGAACCGAGGUCCGGAUGGGUGUGUUCUGCUUGUAGACUGGAAUGCUUGAAAUGGCACCGAGGUAAGAUCAAUCAGAGAGAAGUUUGUUGGUCAGUGGCUGUUCUGUAUGAUGUGUGCCCCUUUACGUUGUGCUCUUACAGUUUCAUCCAGUCCCUAACCGAGUACAAACAGUCCGGUGCUAACUGCAUGCAGUACAGAAAAACUCCAUCAGUACGGAAAUUUUUUAAAAAAUAAGGUCCCUAUGUCGAAGAUGUCAGGUACGAGGAUUACUUGUAGGCUCAGUAGCAGAGCGGGAUGUGGGGGUGGGGGGUGUAUUUGGGGAUUUGUAAUUUAUCGUACAGUACAGUAGAGGCUCAGAGCACCAUGGUGGCUAGCAGGCUGGUGGAGCUGCCGGAGAGAGCGAGUGGCACAUACAGUACUUCAGCGUUCUUCAGAAGCUUACACCAACACACAGCUCCCAUCCAGCUCAUGUUCAGGGAGGAGUUUCCCUUAAAACAGCAGAUCAAAUAUGGCACUACAUGGCUUUUGGGAAACUUUACAGCUAUUGUAUGAGAACUGAUAGAACAUCUAAAUGGGAAAAAAAAACCCACCCCAAAACAAAACAAGACAAAUACAUGGAGACCACAAGCCUCAAAAUCAUCCCCCUUUCUGCAAAAACGUCUACAUGCGGCCCUGCAAUGACAACGACCUUGUUUCCGCUUUAAUAAACUGCCGGAGAUUUGCUGUUUUCUGUUAGGGCUUGAUCAAUAUAUCUACUCUGCGAGUAAAACCAGCCAGAAUUAAGAUUCCACAGACUUAUCCGUGGGAUCAGUGGGAAUGAUUUUAAAGCGCCGAUAAUACUGUAAAGCCGCACUCGUUAACGCGAGGCUAAUCGCUCACUUGUCGUUAUCCGAAGACAGAUCACGUUAUUGAUAUAUAACGUAAAUGCCACUAUUUCUAUCUGCGUUUGUUUAGUGCUUCUCCA